AUUGAACGCUGGCGGCAGGCCUAACACAUGCAAGUCGAGCGAGCGGCGGACGGGUGAGUAAUGUAUGGGGACUGCCCGAUAGAGGGGGAUAACUACUGGAAACGGUGGCUAAUACCGCAUACUAUCGGAUAACCCAUAUGGGAUUAGCUAGUAGGUGGGGUAAAGGCUCACCUAGACGACGAUCGCUAGCUGGUCUGAGAGGAUGACCGGCCACACUGGGACGGAGACACGGCCCAGACUCCUCCGGAGGCAGCAGUGGGGAACAUUGGACAAUGGGCGAAAGCCGGAUGCAGCCAUGCGGCGUGUAUGAAGAAGGCCUUAGGGUUGUAAAGUACUUUCAGAGGGGAGGCGGUACCCGCAGAAGAAGCACCGGCUAACUCCGUGCCAGCAGCCGCGGUAAUUC
rnacentral:rRNA from 1 species